AAUAAUUUCCCCAUGGACAAGUAUAGGAAUCGUUUGCAAUACUCAAUCGUACUAGCGAUGCUUCUUCUCAUACUGUUUGCUACCCGUGCGCAAUGCAGAAUCUUGGAAGACGUCGAAAACGUUAAGAUCAAGUUAGAUGGUCUGUGCGCCCGCGAUCCAAACUGCAAAAACUCUUCGUUGUGUUUCUGUUGUUUUGCAAACCAUCUUUGUUAUCCUUCUUUGGAUGAUUGCAUGGUCGGCUGCCGAAAUGCUUCUCCGUUAGACCCGGCGGCAGCGAUGAUACGUUCUCCAUCACCCUCCUAUCUAAUCUAGUCAUAUGGCUUUUUAAGGAUGGUGCCAUAUGUGCUCAUGAAUAAUUUAGUGUAAUAAACAAUGUUGCUAUAUUUACUUUUCAAGAGUUGAGAAGUUAUAUAA